rnacentral:tRNA from 2 species
GGAGAGAUGGCUGAGGGGUUGAAAGCAAAUCACUGCUAAUGAUUUGGCUGGGGAAACCUGGCCCCUGGGUUCGAAUCCCAGUCUCUCCGCCA